rnacentral:rRNA from 1 species
ACCGUGCUGCGUCUGCCCGGCGCGCGCGGGGGUGGCUUGCUGUCUAUGGCUGCCAACGAUUUUUCGAUCUGGAGGAAAAAACUGGGUGGGAUGUGCCCCCUCGGGGGGUUAUAGACGCUUAAAAAAUACCCUGGGUUGAACUGAGGAACGCCACCUACGCUAUUACUGGAAUUUGCUGAAUGCUUUUAUUUUUAUCGAAUAGAAUUUCUGCUUCGGGUGGUGCUAGUUUAUACCAGUAAAACUCGCUUGGUAUACUUUUUAUCCGCUUAGGUUGUUGGCUUAAUGACUCUAAAUGACCCGUCUUGAAACACGGACCAAGGAGUC